ACUGUAUUGGCAUGCUUGGGUCAACAGCUGUCAGUUGCAGUGUGAUGGAUGGCUGUUGGUCUGGGCCCUGCUGGUCCACGGCGGACAUCAAGUUGUGCUCUGUAUGGGAUAACUGAGGUGAUCUGGGCUCAUCACUCUGCGAACUCGCCAAUAGUGCCAGUGGUGGCUGGGGUGACACUGCCGAAAGUCUUCGCCUGGGUGGGGAUGAUGGAGGUGCGGAAUCAGACCCAAGACGCCGUGUCUUAGUUGGCCUCCUGGAAUAUGUGACUACAGUGAAGACUUACCUGCAAUCCCUGCCUCAUCCUGACUUGUCUGAGGCCUGUCUGGGUGGCUGGUCUGUGUGACUGUUGAAAAAGUGACCCCAACAUUAUUACCAUGUAUUUUGAAAAAUGACCCACUGAAACCCAUUAAUGUACUGUAAGCAUCUAUUAGGUAUUGUUUCAAACAAAUAUUUAAGCUUAAGUGCUUCUUGAUUCCUGAUUUUUAGUUGUAUAUUAAAAUGCACUUGAUGUGGCACACAAUAAAUGUAUCCAAAAUUU